rnacentral:miRNA from 1 species
GCCUAAUAUAUAUAUAUAUAUAUAUAUAUAGUGUGUGUGUGUGUGUGUAUAUAUAUAUAUAUACACACACGCAUACACACUAGUGGCCUGGUGCAUGAAUUC